rnacentral:tRNA from 1 species
AUCUAAAUAGUUUAUUAAAAAUAUUAACCUGUGGCGUUAAUGAAGCAUUAAUUUGUUUUAGAUA